rnacentral:rRNA from 1 species
AUUGAACGCUGGCGGCAGGCCUAACACAUGCAAGUCGAGCGGAUGACGGGAGCUUGCUCCUUGAUUCAGCGGCGGACGGGUGAGUAAUGCCUAGGAAUCUGCCUGGUAGUGGGGGACAACGUUUCGAAAGGAACGCUAAUACCGCAUACGUCCUACGGGAGAAAGCAGGGGACCUUCGGGCCUUGCGCUAUCAGAUGAGCCUAGGUCGGAUUAGCUAGUUGGUGGGGUAAUGGCUCACCAAGGCGACGAUCUGUAACUGGUCUGAGAGGAUGAUCAGUCACACUGGAACUGAGACACGGUCCAGACUCCUACGGGAGGCAGCAGUGGGGAAUAUUGGACAAUGGGCGAAAGCCUGAUUCAGCCAUGCCGCGUGUGUGAAGAAGGUCUUCGGAUUGUAAAGCACUUUAAGUUGGGAGGAAGGGCAGUAAGUUAAUACCUUGCUGUUUUGACGUUACCGACAGAAUAAGCACCGGCUAACUCUGUGCCAGCAGCCGCAGUAA